CACACAGGAAGAAGAUAUUUAUACAUACAGAGAACAUGAAAAGGUACUCUGAAACCAAUACAAACACACAGAAAUGUGAUUAUAAAGGGACUAAUGAAUCCUGGUUUUGUUCAUUUGUUUUUGUUCUGUUUUUACUCCUGUAUACACACACAGAUCACAACAGGGGACUCAGUUAUUCUAGAUAAAUGCAGUGAACUCUUUUUUUAAAUGUAGCUGUUUCUAAAGUUCUGUUCCCGUUUUAUGAAACAGGUGUAUUGUUACAAUUGCAGUUUAGCCAGUUUGCUUAAAUCAAAUAUAAUAUAAUUUUCCAUUUAGAACAUGGAAAAGCUGUGCCUGCAGAUUUUUCCCCCUUGGCAGGAAAUAAGCAUUUCCCUACAGAUGUAUGUUUUUAAUCCUCUUCAGAUUUGGAUUGUCCCUACUUGUAGAAACUGUAGUAGCGAUCCACAGUAUGUAUAGAAACAGAGCUUCUCAUUUGCAAUUUGUUCUGCACUUAAAUUCUCUUAAUGCCACAGAUAAACUUUGGGAAAGUUAUAUCACAAUAAACAGUGAGGGGUGGUUUAAAAUUGUAUGUGCUGCUGUAUUAUUAGGUUUCACUGACAUUGCAAUUAUCAUUUGAAGCUGGCAAUACCCUAUUAGCUGUUUAGUCAGAUACAGAAAUAAAGGCAUGUAUGAACAUUCAGACACUUUUAUGAAUGGAAAAUAUUUUUGAGAUUUCCCCCCUACUUUCUUGUUUGUCCUGUAUACACCAGGACCUAUGUCUUCCAGAAUCCCUGUAUAUGUCACUUCAAUAUUUAGACACAAUACAUAACGCAACAUGAUGCAUUGUUACCCCGUCCCACCGCCCCAGACAAAUCAUAUACUUCUUUUAUUAGCUAGUCAAUCCUCAAUCUUUAGAAAAGUAAAUAUCCAGAACCAUUUGCUUUUAUUUGCACACACAGGAGGUAAACCCUAGGACUGCAGUCUCCGCUCUAACAUCUGCAUCGCUGGAAGUAACAGCGACGUAAAACUGACAUUUGAGCAUGGUGCUAAACACCGUACAGAUCACAAUUUUUAUUCUACAAUUGAUUUCGCAGCAGGGAGGGUUUUAACUCCUCGAGCAAAGGCACAAAGAACCAGAACAAAAAUGAUCACAAACAAAAAAACAAGCGUUGUAUCCCCCCAUUCCCUCUCUCUUGUAUACUCAUGAAUCGGUGGAGAGGGAGGGGGAAAUAAAUGGUGUUUAAAAAAAAUCGUAGUCUCAUAAGCUGCCAAGUCUGCCUUCCGAAUUAUUCACGAAGUCAACGGUAGCCAUUUUCAUUUAAGGUACAGAAAAAGGAAGGGAGGGGGAGGUCACGAGGAAACCCCGCAAAAUACAAAACAAGCCGUAGGUAGAGAACCGAAUCCACAUUCAUCCAGUGAUUGUUCUACAGUCAAUUCAUUUCGAAUGGCUGCGCUGCACGGAGCUUGCAGGGGAGGUGGGGGGGGGGAGAGGCAAGGAAUAAUCAAUCCAUGCUGUGCCCGGUCCUUCACCAGCCGCUGCUGCUGUUGAUGCAGAGGUUAGCAGCUGCAUCGUGGUGGUGGUGGUGUGAUUUUUUUUUUUGCCGCAGUCUACGUCCAUCAUAUAAACCAACACGCAUUGAGAUGAAUAAUGGAAGUACAGUACUGAAGACAGCCACGCUGAUUUAUCACAGCGAAUCAUUCACUGCUCCAGCCCCGGCUCUCAAUUAUGCCACUUUAAAUCACGCACACACAGAGAGAGAUAAGCUGUUUGUGGCCAGAUCUGAGCCAAACACAGUGAGAGAGAAAGAAAAAAAAUCCGGGUUGUUGAACCGAGGAAAGUGGGAAAUAAAAGACAAAAAGGAUCUCCCCCCUCCCCCAGCGUGGACAAGCGCUCUGUAAUGCAGCUUGGACGAAAAUAAAGUCUGAACAAAACUAGACGGUGAGACAAGCACGUAGGAGAGGGUGAAACUGACGUUAAGGCAGACUCCCUGGGAAUCUGGUGACUGGGAAGCAAAACACGCUCUCCUUUGCACGCUCUCACACGAUUUUUUAAGAGAAACGCACUAGAACUGAGUUGCGACGAAACUUGGCUUUAAAAAUAUUCACACGCUGGACACGCUGCAGUUGAGGUUUCUUUGGAGAACUUAUGGUGGGGAAGAGAGACCAGGCAGCCAUCUGCACAGCCCUUCAGGUAACGUCCAGACGGUGCGUGAAAAUCGAUAACAGCAAGGACAUUCGUAAUCAGCGCUUCCGCCUUGUCACCUUCCCUCUGGUGACGAGGUAUUACAGUGAUCGGAGGUCGGUGUGAAACGGGACCCAGCACAGGUGCUACACUCCUACCAAGGGACGGCUGGUGAGUUACCUAAGGACUGAGUGGAAGCCUGAACACAGAAUGUUUUUACACGUUCAGGUUAGGCAUUUAGCACAACUAAUGCAGUUUCGCAUGUUCAUUCUAGAUGCAUUUUUGAAUGGUAGCGAAAGACAUCUUAAAAGUGUUUGUGGCAUUGCUAUAAUCCGUAUAGACACAAUAAAUCGUAACAUUUCCUUC